CAUAUUGUCUUUGAGAGGGUACAGCCAACAUUCUAGACAGGACAGUGUUGUCCAUCUUCUACAUCUUCAACCUCCAAUGAGGCAGCCAAAACUUUGGUUCAUUCAACGUCGCUUCAUUGGGAUUAACCCAGAAAGGGAUACAAAAGCAGGUCAUGGGAAGAUGGUAUCCAAAAAGACAGGAAAGACCAUUCAAAAGAAAAAGUGACGGUCAAUGUUCAGGUUUCCACCCUCAUCAAAAACCUGAUGGACUUUGAGUGGCAUCUCAUUCAGUAAGUGCCACUUGGACUCUUGAAAACCAUUAAUAGUUCACAUUUUAAAACUGUGUUAAUAAUAGAAUUCCACAUUAUUUCAGCCAUGUUGA